UUUUUUCUGUUCUUCAGAUUCUCAAGUCUUUAUCUCCCAGCCGCAUUUCUACAAUGCUGACCCUGUGCUAUGGAAAGCUGUUGAUGGACUAAAUCCCAAUGAGGAAGAUCAUGCACUCUUCAUUGAGAUCCAUCCUUUAACUGGAAUCCCUUUGAAUGUCUCCAUCAAAUUGCAACUAAAUCUGUUUGUGAAGGCAGUGCAAGGAAUAUCGGAAACUGGAAAAAUCAAGCCUGUGCUGUUGCCAUUGCUUUGGUUUGAUGAGACAGGAUACAUCGAUGGUGCACCUCUGCAAACUUUCUAUAAUUUCCUGGUGUUGGUGCCGACUAUUUUGGAAUACUUGCAGUACGUCCUGAUUGCUGUUGGCUGCCUUUUGGUGUUAGUUGCUAUAGUUCUUGAAAUUGCUUGUUGGAAAAAGCAGGUAAGAUCCGAAAAUUAUUGAUGGAAGUAUAAAUGAGAGGCACAUAAACACCAAAUGAAACACCUUGUUUAUAGUGCUCUGGGUUAAA